rnacentral:rRNA from 1 species
GAUGAACGCUGGCGGCGUGCCUAAUACAUGCAAGUCGAGCGAACGGACGAGAAGCUUGCUUCUCUGAUGUUAGCGGCGGACGGGUGAGUAACACGUGGAUAACCUACCUAUAAGACUGGGAUAACUUCGGGAAACCGGAGCUAAUACCGGAUAAUAUUUUGAACCGCAUGGUUCAAAAGUGAAAGACGGUCUUGCUGUCACUUAUAGAUGGAUCCGAGCUGCAUUAGCUAGUUGGUAAGGUAACGGCUUACCAAGGCAACGAUGCAUAGCCGACCUGAGAGGGUGAUCAGCCACACUGGAACUGAGACACGGUCCAGACUCCUACGGGAGGCAGCAGUAGGGAAUCUUCCGCAAUGGGCGAAAGCCUGACCGAGCAACGCCGCGUGAGUGAUGAAGGUCUUCGGAUCGUAAAACUCUGUUAGUAGGGAAGAACAUAUGUGUAAGUAACUGUGCACAUCUUGACGGUACCUAAACAGAAAGCCACGGCUAACUUCGUG